ensembl:lncRNA
AAAAUAAAUAAAAUCUUAAAAUCUCUUUGACAAAUGAUGUGGUGCCAACAUCUAACAUUGUGUGAAAUAACAAAUAUAUUAAAUAGUUUAAAUUAAAUUAAAAGAGUUAAGAUUUUUCACCUCCUACAGCUGUGCAAAGAACAAGAAUGUAAACAACAGAACAAAAUUACCAACAGAACAGGCUAAAUACCCUUUCUCAUAUUCAGUGCUCCUGUAUUUUACAGGUUUUGUGCAAGAAAAACGAGUCCAUCAACUGCCUCAGGCUUCAGGGAUGCCCUGUGACAGUUGACAAUGUUGCCGCUGCAACUGAAAACCCUUUCAGAAGGGGAACUGGUUGCUGGUGCGCGAAGGUACUUUUUUGCCAGGAGGCUCAGUGCUGGAAAAAUAUCGGCAUGCAUCUUCCACCAUUGGAGAGGAUCUGUGUCGUGGUCGAUGAUAGCUGACUGCCCAGCCGGGUCCGGCUUACCGCCGCCCAAAUCAGC